AUUGAACGCCGGCGGCAGGCCUAACACAUGCAAGUCGAGCGGAUGAGUGGAGCUUGCUCCAUGAUUCAGCGGCGGACGGGUGAGUAAUGCCUAGGAAUCUGCCUAUUAGUGGGGGACAACGUUUCGAAAGGAACGCUAAUACCGCAUACGUCCUACGGGAGAAAGCAGGGGACCUUCGGGCCUUGCGCUAAUAGAUGAGCCUAGGUCGGAUUAGCUAGUUGGUGAGGUAGUGGCUCACCAAGGCGACGAUCCGUAACUGGUCUGAGAGGAUGAUCAGUCACACUGGAACUGAGACACGGUCCAGACUCCUACGGGAGGCAGCAGUGGGGAAUAUUGGACAAUGGGCGAAAGCCUGAUCCAGCCAUGCCGCGUGUGUGAAGAAGGUCUUCGGAUUGUAAAGCACUUUAAGUUGGGAGGAAGGGCAGUAAGUUAAUACCUUGCUGUUUUGACGUUACCGACAGAAUAAGCACCGGCUAACCCUGUGCCAGCCGCCGCCGUAAAAC
rnacentral:rRNA from 1 species